AUUGAACGCUGGCGGCAGGCCUAACACAUGCAAGUCGAACGAGUGGCGGACGGGUGAGUAAUGUAUGGGAAAUUGCCCGAUGGAGGGGGAUAACUACUGGAAACGGUAGCUAAUACCGCAUACCAUCUGUUGUGCCCAGAUGGGAUUAGCUAGUAGGUGGGGUAACGGCUAACCUAGGCGACGAUCCCUAGCUGGUCUGAGAGGAUGACAGGCCACACUGGAACGGAAACACGGUCCAGACUCCUACGGGAGGCAGCAGUGGGGAAUAUUGCACAAUGGGCGAAAGCCUGAUGCAGCCAUGCGGCGUGUAUGAGGAAGGCCUUCGGGUUGUAAAGUACUUUCAGCGAGGAGACGUUACUCGCAGAAGAAGCACCGGCUAACUCCGUGCCAGCAGCCGCGGUAAUUC
rnacentral:rRNA from 1 species